rnacentral:rRNA from 1 species
CCGUUCUUGAGGAUUGCAGAGGAGACUGGAAUUCCCGGUGUAGCGGUGAAAUGUGUAGAGAUCGGGAGGAACACCGGUGGCGAAGGCGGGUCUCUGGGCAAUCCCUGACGCUGAGGCGCGAAAGCGUGGGGAGCAAACGGGAUUAGAUACCCCGGUAGUCCACGCUGUAAACGAUGACGACUAGGUGUGGGGGGGUUCAGUCCCUUCCGUGCCGCAGCUAACGCAUUAAGUCGUCCGCCUGGGGAGUACGGCCGCAAGGUUGAAACUCAAAGGAAUUGACGGGGGCCCGCACAAGCGGUGGAGCAUGUGGUUCAAUUCGAUGCUGAGCGAAGAACCUUACCUGGGCUUGACAUGCAGGAAGUAGAAACCGGAAACGGCGACGACCUGUUAAAUCAGGAGCUUGCACAGGUGGCGCAUGGCUGUCGUCAGCUCGUGCCGUGAGGUGUUGGGUUAAGUCCCGCAACGAGCGCAACCCUCACUCUAUGUUGCCAUCGGGUAAUGCCGGGCACUCUUAGGGAACCGCCGGCGAAGAGCUGGAGGAAGGGGGGGAUGACGUCAAGUCCGUAUGCCCCUUAUGUCCAGGGCUACACACAUGCUACAAUGGCCGAUACAGAGGGUUCCCAACCCGCGAGGGGGAGGCAAUCCCACAAAGUCGGUCUCAGUUCGGAUUGCAGGCUGCAACUCGCCUGCAUGAAGUC